UGAUGCGUAAACGUAAACGAUGUCAGUAAAUUCCUGGAGUUUCUAAACAACAACAGACUGAAAGAAAAAGAAACGGAAAAGAAAUGAAAUUUUAUGUGUCGGGUGAAUCAGAUACUGAGACAUAUAUAUACGAAUAUAUACAGUCAUGUGAAAGAUAUUAUUAUGGGUAUUAUAGAUACUAGGUUUAAAAUGGAAAAACAGUCAGGGCGAUAAAAUCAAAUGCACAAUUUAUUCACCGAUAUUUUCAUAUUUUUUCCGUCUAAAUCCCGUUUACUUCCUUGACAGGAGGUAAAUACAGGUGAAUGAACUGCACAUUGUUUACCUAUUGGUCUGGUUCAAAACCAAUUAAACCUACACAUUUUUUUCCUCAGUCUUACCGUAUUUUCCGUCCUAUAAGUCACACUUUUUUUCAUAGUUUGACUUAUAUAUAAAAAUGUAUAAUUUCACGUUUGUUAUUUUCAUCCUGACAGCCGCUAGAGGGCGCUCUAGGCUUGUGUACCACUAUCUGCUACUCCUGUACCACCAACAUGUAAAAACCGGUAAUCGAGCAGCAGAAAAAUAGUGUGGAGUGGGCGAGAAACUUGUGAGGGCGAAAAGCGGAGGUUACUCUUACUGCAAUGAAGAAAACAUAAAAACCUAAUGGCGGGCUAAAAGCUCGAUGGCCACAGCUAGAGGAAAGAGUUUGCAAAUGGCUGCUUGAACAACGUGCUGCCGGGAGAGGCUUGUCAACCAGAUCUCCAAAGAAAUGCAGAGGAUGGAUACCAACAGGCCCGCACCGUGGAGCUGCAGCAGAGGUCCUCGUCUGUGGCCACUCAGCAGACCACCGUGUCCUCCGUGCCCUCACACCCCUCCACCACCGGACGUUUCCUCAGCCAUGACUGAGCCCCAUGAGGCAGACCUGCUCAGUUCAGAGAUGGUCCUUCAUCCACAUCUUAAGUAAGUUGUUGUAAAAUACCUCCACUUUAGCUCGUGCCAAUCAGAUAGGUUUAUUCCUUUCCAGUGACCGAGUGAUCUGUUUUUAUUAUUCUGAUACUUGCAUGUCCUUUGUGUCACUACAGGAGGACUGACCACAACCAUCAGUGCCUGUACAGGAGGAGCUGCCCUGUCGUCUCUGUGCAGCUCACUCUGGGUGUAAAAGGCUCUACAGCUCUGGGACUCGUGUCUUAGGCUCAUGCUGGUUCCUUCUGAGGCCCUUCAAAAAGGCCUUGGGUCAUUAUAAGAUUAGCACAAUGAUUUGAAUAGCACAAGUUUAGCUAAGGCUAACUAUAUUCGCAUAUUACUCCAUGUUUAUUUAUUUUGGGAAAAAGUUCAGCCUAUAAGCAUAACAACAAAGCUAUUGUAAUCUUGUUUUAAACUGGGUGAAAGAAUAACGGUAUUAUUGGUUUGUGUCAUUGG
rnacentral:lncRNA from 1 species